rnacentral:rRNA from 2 species
GCCUUCCGGCUAUACAUGCAGUCGAGCGGAUUGAUGGGAGCUUGCUCCCUGAUAUCAGCGGCGGACGGGUGAGUAACACGUGGGUAACCUGCCUGUAAGACUGGGAUAACUCCGGGAAACCGGGGCUAAUACCGGAUAACUCAUUUCCUCGCAUGAGGAAAUGUUGAAAGGUGGCUUUUAGCUACCACUUACAGAUGGACCCGCGGCGCAUUAGCUAGUUGGUGAGGUAACGGCUCACCAAGGCAACGAUGCGUAGCCGACCUGAGAGGGUGAUCGGCCACACUGGGACUGAGACACGGCCCAGACUCCUACGGGAGGCAGCAGUAGGGAAUCUUCCGCAUGGACGAAAGUCUGACGGAGCAACGCCGCGUGAGUGAUGAAGGUUUCGGAUCGUAAGCUCUGUUGUUAGGGAAGACAGUGCCGUUCGAAUAGGCGGCACCUUGACGUACUAACCAGAAGCACGGCUACUACGUGCCAGCAGCCGCGGUAUACGUAGUGGCAGCGUUGUCGGAUAUGG